rnacentral:rRNA from 1 species
AGUGAACGCUGGCGGUAGGCCUAACACAUGCAAGUCGAACGGCAGCACAGUAAGAGCUUGCUCUUACGGGUGGCGAGUGGCGGACGGGUGAGGAAUACAUCGGAAUCUACUUUUUCGUGGGGGAUAACGUAGGGAAACUUACGCUAAUACCGCAUACGACCUACGGGUGAAAGCAGGGGAUCUUCGGACCUUGCGCGAUUGAAUGAGCCGAUGUCGGAUUAGCUAGUUGGCGGGGUAAAGGCCCACCAAGGCGACGAUCCGUAGCUGGUCUGAGAGGAUGAUCAGCCACACUGGAACUGAGACACGGUCCAGACUCCUACGGGAGGCAGCAGUGGGGAAUAUUGGACAAUAGGCGCAAGCCUGAUCCAGCCAUACCGCGUGGGUGAAGAAGGCCUUCGGGUUGUAAAGCCCUUUUGUUGGGAAAGAAAAGCAGCAGGUUAAUACCCCGCUGUUCUGACGGUACCCAAAGAAUAAGCACCGGCUAACUUCGUGC